AGUGUAAUAUUAACAAUACAUGUUACGUUUAUAGCUUUACGUGAAAAUACCUAGUUUUUAAUUAAUCUACAUUUGUUCAAAACACAAGACCAUGUGCAUUUUUUUCCUUUACAAAAUUUCUAUAAGUAAUUCCAGCCGAUCUUUUUAGGCACACACACACACAACAAACAAUAACCUUGUUUUAUUUACUCAGUACAAAAUAAUUCGCUCCUUCGUGUGUUGUUGGUCUGUAAACCCCGCGCAUUUCAUACGAGGACCGUUUAUUUCAAACGAAGAGGAUCACGCAGACUGAGCUUAAGGAAAACUGCAUUGAGUCUCGAAGAGAAACUGUGAUCAUUUUCUACCUUGGUGAAAAGACAGAGGCGUUAAUCAAGGACUACAAGGUUUGUGAUGAUGAUGCUGCAGCCAUCCAAGAGGAACUCACUUCAUUUGUUCUUAAAAAAACUGAAACACAGGCUUUCCAGAAGAGCUUCCUGGAGCUGGAGGAUGGAAAUCAAAAAAUUCUCCCCAAAGUCCAUAACCUCAAAGUCAGCUUUCUGGCCUAUAAGCUAUUGUUUAAUCUAGAAGGUUUAAGUUCUGGUCAAGUUUUACAGUUUACAAUUUCUCAAGUUCUCUUAUGCACUUUGUGAGUCUGUUAUGUUUACAAUGCAUGAUGUUUCUGAUGCAUUUAAAGUGAAGCU